UGAAAAAACAUAAAAACCGAGACAAAAGAAUCGAGAAAACACUUGAAGCAAAGCCCCUUGACGAGCCUCUCCUUUUGGACGCCUGAAACACGCUGGAGACAGACACAGGGAAUAAAACACCGCAAAUAAAACAGGAAAAUAAUAAACCAAACACUCAAUAAAAUAAAACAGCCAAAGACGCUAAAAAAACACCCAAUAAAAUAACGAAGGGAAAACGAGCCUAAACAUUUUCCAGCCGAUCUCAAAAUGGCCGCCGAUCUUCUCCUCCACACGUAAACAAGACGAGCGGGAGGGGAGACAAGAUGCUGGGCGAGAGGAAGGAUGCCGACUGCUACUUCUACUACUACUCCUCCUGCUCAAAGGCUGUCCCUCACACAAGCAGCCUUCUGACGAGCCUGUGGAAGGAGAUAAAAGUGGAGAUAGGAGAGGAAUGAAGAGGAGGAGGAAGAAGCGGAAGAUGGGAGGAGGAAGAGGAAAGAUUAAGCAUCACUUGAGGUCAUAAUGCGGCCCCUAAACCGACCUUUCUAGGGACCCACAAUUCUUGGGUUAACAGGGCCCUGGGUCUGUAACAUCAGGUCAGGGAAGGAGCCGAGAUGAGACCAGACUCAGCCCUCCAGUGAGCCCAGGAGACCACCAGGGGGACACCCACGCACCUCAUGGCUUGGGGGAAAAUGCAUGAAGGUGGUGGUUGGUGAGUGAAGCAACGCACCCCCUGUGUAUGCUCAGGCCCCAGGCUAUGUCAGGUCAGGGGCUGCCUCAAGAACAGGUUAUUUCUCUCCACACUUUCCUCCAUUUUUCUCCUGUUUCCUCCAUUUCUUCCUCCUUUCCUCCUAUACCAAAAAAUAGCUUAAUCUUUCCUCUUCCUCCUCCCAUCUUCCACUUCUUCCUCCUCCUCUUCAUUCCUCUCCUAUCUCCACUUUUAUCAAGGUCUGUGUAUUUCUCCGGCAUAAUUUUGUUGGUUUUGUUAUUUCCUCCUCCAAGAUCAAGUCCAUUUUCCUCCACUUUCCUCCACCUCCUCCUCCUUUCCUCCUAUACCAAAAAAUAGCUUAAUCUUUCCUCUUCCUCCUCCCAUCUUCCACUUCUUCCUCCUCCUCUUCAUUCCUCUCCUAUCUCCACUUUUAUCAAGGUCUGUGUAUUUCUCCAGCGUGAUUCUGGUGGUUUCGUUCAUUUCCUCCUCCAAGUUCAAGUCCAUUUUCCUCCACUUUCCUCCACCUUUUCGUCCUUUCCUCCUAUACCAAAAAACAGCUUAAUCUUUCCUCUUCCUCCUCCCAUCUUCCACUUCUUCCUCCUCCUCUUCAUUCCUCUCCUAUCUCCACUUUUAUCAAGGUCUGUGUAUUUCUCCGGCAUAAUUUUGUUGGUUUUGUUAUUUCCUCCUCCAAGAUCAAGUCCAUUUUCCUCCACUUUCCUCCACCUCCUCCUCCUUUCCUCCUAUACCAAAAAAUAGCUUAAUCUUUCCUCUUCCUCCUCCCAUCUUCCACUUCUUCCUCCUCCUCUUCAUUCCUCUCCUAUCUCCACUUUUAUCAAGGUCUGUGUAUUUCUCCAGCAAAAUUUUGUUGGUUUUGUUAUUUCCUCCUCCAAGAUCAAGUCCAUUUUCCUCCACUUUCCUCCACCUCCUCCUCCUUUCCUCCUAUACCAAAAAAUAGCUUAAUCUUUCCUCUUC